rnacentral:lncRNA from 1 species
AUGUGGCUUGGGACAUGGUCACGGGGCCACCAAGCAUACCCUCACCCAUCGUCGCCCAGAGCUCUGGCCCUGAUGACACCCGGCCACUUCCUCCUGGAGGUGUGUGACCCCCACGGCGUCCCCCUCGGUGAGGCUGGCUUGCAUGUGACCUUGGGCAAAUCUCUUCCCCUCUCUGGGCCUCAGCAGGCCGGCUGGAGGGAUCCCCGUGGCUCCGGCCUGGGUUUCAGCUCUUGUCCUGACCCUCCUGCUUCCCGCCGCUGUCCCUCCCCCCACCCUCACCCCCACCCCCGCCCCCGUUCCAGGCUAGGCUGGGAGUGGGGAGCCAGCCGCGCAGCCCGCAGCCCGGGGCGCAGGUCCAGAGGCGCUGACCGCGGGGCGGGGGGGCGGGGGUGGUCACGACGCGGCUCCUGCUCCUGCGAGGACUCCGGCAAGCUCCCCGGCGCGGGGGGCGCGCAGUCGGGGCUCAAGCCUUUUCCUUCCUCGCCGCCCCUGCGGGCCCGUGUCCCCCACCUUUCGCGUCGCCCCCUCCCCCGUUGCCCCAGAAGCUGUCCCCCUCCCCUUGGGGCGCAGGCUGUUAGCCGGGCCGCUGGGUGCUCGCCCGGGGCGCGUCCUGGCGCGCUCUGGUCCUCAGUUUCCCCACCUGUGAAAUGGGGGCACGGGCGGGCGCGCGGGGGCCGGCAGGGCGGGGGCCUCCGCCGCUCCCGCCCGCUCGCCCGCGGCCCGGGCUCCGCAGUGACGGGGGGAGCGGCGCCGGGAAGGAGCGCUCCGCGGUCACGUGAGCCCCCCCCCCCCCCCGAACUGCGGCGGCGGCGGCGGCGAACGCGGAGCGGCGUCCGGGCAGAGCUGCAGCGGCGGCCGCGGGCACCGGAGCGCGGAGCCCAGGACGCCCGGCGCAGGCCCGCGGUGAGUCCGCCCCGCCCGGGGGCUGCGGGGGGCGGCGGGGGCGGGGGCAGGCCUGGGCCGAGCCCUGAGCACCCCUUCCCCGCGGGGCUCGCUCGGGCCGGGGCUGGGGCCGCGGGUGCCUCCCCCUGCGCGCAGGCCCGGGGAGGGGGCGCCUCGGGCGCGGAGGGGUGGGCGCGUCCCCGUCCCCGUCCCCGUCCCCGUCCCCGGGCAGGGACCCCCCCCGCCCCCGGCGCUCCGGGCCUCGGAGGACGACGCGGGGGUCCUGGGGCAGCGACCCCGGCCGAGAGGCGGCGACGUCCUCGCUUCCCGGGGACGGAGCGCGCCCCCACCCGCGGCGGAGCGGGGCUCUCGCGUCACGCAGCCGGGCGCCCCCUCGCCGCCUCCCUCGGGCUCCGCGGGGUCUGA